UACGGGGGGGGCAAGCGUUGUUCGGAAUUACUGGGCGUAAAGGGCUCGUAGGUGGCCAACUAAGUCGGACGUGAAAUCCCUCGGCUUAACCGGGGAACUGCAUCCGAUACUGGAUGGCUUGAGUAUGGGAGAGGUAAGCGGAAUUCCUGGUGUAGCGGUGAAAUGCGUAGAUAUCAGGAGGAACACCUGCGGUGUAGACGGCUUACUGGACCAUCACUGACGCUGAGGCACGAAAGCGUGGGUAGCAAACAGG
rnacentral:rRNA from 1 species